rnacentral:rRNA from 1 species
UACAGAGACUGCAAGCGUUAUUCGGAUUCACUGGGCGUAAAGAGCGUGUAGGCGGCCAGGUAGGUCCGUUGUGAAAACUCGAGGCUCAACCUCGAGACGUCGAUGGAAACCAUCUGGCUAGAGUCCGGAAGAGGAGAGUGGAAUUCCUGGUGUAGCGGUGAAAUGCGCAGAUAUCAGGAAGAACACCUAUGGCGAAGGCAGCUCUCUGGGACGGUACUGACGCUGAGACGCGAAAGCGUGGGGAGCGAACAGG